rnacentral:rRNA from 1 species
GCGAACGCUGGCGGCAGGCCUAACACAUGCAAGUCGAACGAACCUUUCGGGGUUAGUGGCGGACGGGUGAGUAACACGUGGGAACGUGCCUUUAGGUUCGGAAUAACUCAGGGAAACUUGUGCUAAUACCGAAUGUGCCCUUCGGGGGAAAGAUUUAUCGCCUUUAGAGCGGCCCGCGUCUGAUUAGCUAGUUGGUUGAGGUAAUGGCUCACCAAGGCGACGAUCAGUAGCUGGUCUGAGAGGAUGAUCAGCCACAUUGGGACUGAGACACGGCCCAAACUCCUACGGGAGGCAGCAGUGGGGAAUCUUGCGCAAUGGGCGAAAGCCUGAGGCAGCCAUGCCGCGUGAAUGAUGAAGGUCUUAGGAUUGUAAAAUUCUUUCACCGGGGACGAUAAUGACGGUACCCGGAGAAGAAGCCCCGGCUAACUUCGUG